rnacentral:rRNA from 1 species
GAUGAACGCUGGCGGCGUGCCUAAUACAUGCAAGUCGAGCGAACAGACGAGGAGCUUGCUCCUCUGACGUUAGCGGCGGACGGGUGAGUAACACGUGGAUAACCUACCUAUAAGACUGGGAUAACUUCGGGAAACCGGAGCUAAUACCGGAUAAUAUAUUGAACCGCAUGGUUCAAUAGUGAAAGACGGUUUUGCUGUCACUUAUAGAUGGAUCCGCGCCGCAUUAGCUAGUUGGUAAGGUAACGGCUUACCAAGGCAACGAUGCGUAGCCGACCUGAGAGGGGGAGCGGCCCAGAUGGGGUGAACGGACGGCCCGGCCCCCAGGGGGGGCCAGGAGUAGGAAAUUUUCCGAAAGGGGGGAAAGCCUCAGGAGGGAACGCAGCGUGAGGAAGGAAGGUCUUGGGAUGGAAAAACUCUGUUAGUAGGGAAAAAAAAAUGGGAAGGUACCAAGCCCGGUUUUAGGGAAACCAAAAAGGAAAGCCGGGGAAAACUAUG